rnacentral:snoRNA from 1 species
AUCCCAUAAUGAGGACACUUACGAAGUAACUCCUUGAAUCGCUCCCAAGCCUCAUACAAAGACUCGUCAUCCAAUUUUUGGAAAGUUGUGAUCUUGUUCCUUAACUU